rnacentral:rRNA from 1 species
GAUGAACGCUGGCGGCGUGCCUAAUACAUGCAAGUCGAGCGAACAGACGAGGAGCUUGCUCCUCUGACGUUAGCGGCGGACGGGUGAGUAACACGUGGAUAACCUACCUAUAAGACUGGGAUAACUUCGGGAAACCGGAGCUAAUACCGGAUAAUAUAUUGAACCGCAUGGUUCAAUAGUGAAAGACGGUUUUGCUGUCACUUAUAGAUGGAUCCGCGCCGCAUUAGCUAGUUGGUAAGGUAACGGCUUACCAAGGCAACGAUGCGUAGCCGACCUGAGAGGGUGAUCGGCCACACUGGAACUGAGACACGGUCCAGACUCCUACGGGAGGCAGCAGUGGGGAAUCUUCCGCAAUGGGCGAAAGCCUGACGGAGCAACGCCGCGUGAGUGAUGAAGGUCUUCGGAUCGUAAAACUCUGUUAUUAGGGAACAACAAAUGUGUAAGUAACUAUGCACGUCUUGACGGUACCUAAUCAGAAAGCCACGGCUAACUACGUG